CCUACGGGAGGCAGCAGUGGGGAAUUUUGGACAAUGGGCGAAAGCCUGAUCCAGCAAUGCCGCGUGUGUGAAGAAGGCCUUCGGGUUGUAAAGCACUUUUGUCCGGAAAGAAAUCCUUGGCUCUAAUACAGUCGGGGGAUGACGGUACCGGAAGAAUAAGCACCGGCUAACUACGUGCCAGCAGCCGCGGUAAUACGUAGGGUGCGAGCGUUAAUCGGAAUUACUGGGCGUAAAGCGUGCGCAGGCGGUUUGCUAAGACCGAUGUGAAAUCCCCGGGCUCAACCUGGGAACUGCAUUGGUGACUGGCAGGCUAGAGUAUGGCAGAGGGGGGUAGAAUUCCACGUGUAGCAGUGAAAUGCGUAGAGAUGUGGAGGAAUACCGAUGGCGAAGGCAGCCCCCUGGGCCAAUACUGACGCUCAUGCACGAAAGCGUGGGGAGCAAACAGGAUUAGAUACCCUGGUAGUCCACGCCCUAAACGAUGUCAACUAGUUGUUGGGGAUUCAUUUCCUUAGUAACGUAGCUAACGCGUGAAGUUGACCGCCUGGGGAGUACGGUCGCAAGAUUAAAACUCAAAGGAAUUGACGG
rnacentral:rRNA from 1 species